rnacentral:rRNA from 1 species
AUUGAACGCUGGCGGCGUGCCUAACACAUGCAAGUCGAGCGGUAACAGGUGUAGCAAUACAUGCUGACGAGCGGCGAACGGGUGAGUAAUGCUUCGGAAUCUGCCCAUGUAGUGGGGAAUAACCAGCCGAAAGGUUGGCUAAUACCGCAUACGACCUACGGGUGAAAGCAGGGGAUCGCAAGACCUUGCGCUAUUGGAUGAGCCGAAGUCGGAUUAGCUUGUUGGUAGGGUAACGGCCUACCAAGGCGACGAUCCGUAGCUGGUCUGAGAGGACGACCAGCCACACUGGGACUGAGACACGGCCCA